UACGGAGGGGGCUAGCGUUAUUCGGAAUUACUGGGCGUAAAGCGCACGUAGGCGGCUUUGUAAGUCAGAGGUGAAAGCCUGGAGCUCAACUCCAGAACUGCCUUUGAGACUGCAUCGCUUGAAUCCAGGAGAGGUGAGUGGAAUUCCGAGUGUAGAGGUGAAAUUCGUAGAUAUUCGGAAGAACACCGGUGGCGAAGGCGGCUCACUGGACUGGUAUUGACGCUGAGGUGCGAAAGCGUGGGGAGCAAACAGG
rnacentral:rRNA from 1 species